rnacentral:lncRNA from 10 species
AGAUAUUUGACAAGUGAGGUCUCCAAAGGUGCCCCACCAACCUUGCAAGGCCCACGAUGGUUCCAGACUUAGAAAUCCAUCCUGUUAAUCCUUAUUGCGCUUGCCAGUGAUUAGUGUUAAACAGGCAUAUGACUCAGUCCUGGGCAUUUCGAAUUAAGGAAAAGUCUGCCAGAGGGCUUCUAGGAGAGACUUCCCUACCUGGAAUGGGUUGAUAGGGGGAGAGAGGGGUGGAGAGGGAGCGAGGGAGUGAGAAAAAGACUGGAGCAAGAGAGAGAGAAGCCAAAAGCUAAAGAAGAAAGCCCUGACUCUCCCUCCUUGGUUGGGAUGUUGUCCUUUAAGGAUGUGAUGCUUGGAGCUGUGGCAGCCAUCUUGUAACCAUGAGAAAAGAAAGCGCCACUCUGAAGUUGAUGGAGAAGAAAGACAGGAAGAGCAUGGGUCCUUCGUGGCAUUGUUGAGCCACUGAACCAACUCUGCAACCUCCCAGCUGCAGUCGUUGUCUUACAUAGGGCAUGGAGCCCUUUGUGCCUCAGCCAGCCAAGCCCAGAUCCAGCCACGUGGACGUGUGCUGACAGCACCGUCGAUGCACAGUCUCCACCAAGCUGGGACAAAGGUACACAUCCUGCGGGGGCAGGGCGGGGCGGCAGUCACCACCCUAGCACUAGGGAGCUCUCUGCUUUAGGCGAUGGAAAGCCCAGAAUCCUUUCUGGUGAGAUUCAGGCGGCAGUGCAAGGAGCCACUAAGAACGGCUGCUUCAUCUUCUGGCGUGAAGAGCUGCGUCAGCCGCGGUGGGUGCAAUGCCCUCUCAAAACCUUCUCCCAGCCUGCUGGGCCACUUUCGCUCCAGAUCUCUUGUGGCUAAUGAGGGAAAGGGGAGCAGGGAGCUGUUGCCUGCACUUCCAGAAGGAGGGGAGGUUGGGGAGAGGCAGAGAGGGCCGCCUGGCCUAGAUGGCUGUGCCUCUCUUGAGCCCAGGAGAGACUCCAGUACUUACAGGAACUCAAACGAUCCCUGGUGACAGCUGGAGGAAAUUAUUCACACUGUCAAGAGAGAGGCUUAUACCACGAACGGUUCCAAUUCAUUAUUUUUAAAUCCCCCAGCUGGCUAAAGAGUUAGAAGAAAAGAUGUGACAAUCAUUUGAGUCUUGUCCCAGAUGGGCUGUCACUCAAGGGCUAUGAAAAUCGAAUGGGACUGGGCUGGUGGUCACAAAAACUGCAGGGCGCACUGGCAAUUCUGCAGGGCUUUGCAGGAUGGUGGAAGGUGGUCUGGUGGGCCAUACUGGGCAGCAGUGGUGAUCCAGCCCCUAUGGCUCAGUAGCAUUUCUACCCAAAGACAGAACAUGUAAUUAAUUGUCCUACCUCCAUCCCAGAGGUGGGUACCAGGAUGGCUUCCAUGCACCUGGGGUGAGGAGGGGUUGCCUGCACGCCCCUCUUCACUCCUGACACACAGCCUUCCUCAGGGGCAAAUGUGCCUCUUGCGUCAGCUCUCCAGGGCAGACCCUGGCGAGGGCACAGGUCCUUCUUUUAUGGGCAGAGGAAAGAAAAGCAAGCAUUCCAGCUGGAGCGGACACUGAGUUUCAGAUGUUUGGCAUUUGAACCUCCUUCCUGUGUUCAGGGGAUCCCCAUGUUAUGAAGUGGGGACCUCCACUUUGGAAGGCAGAAUUCUCAAGAUGCGGCUUUUUUCUUUUCUUUGAGACAGGGUCUUGUUCUGUCACCCAGGCUGGAGUGCAGUGGUGCAAUCACGGUUCACUGCAGCCUUGACUUCCCAGGCUUAAGUGAUCCUCCCACCUCAGCCUCUUGAGUAGCUGGGAAAACAGGUGUAUACCACUGUGCCUUGCUGAUUUUAUUUUUUGUAGGGAGGGUUUCACAUUGUUGCCUAGGCUGGUCUCUAGCUCCUGGGCUCGAGACCUCCUGCCUAGGCCUCCCAAAGCGCCAGGAUUACAGGCACAAGCCACUACGCCUGGCUGGAUGCUGUUUUUUCUAACCUCUCCCUCAGCCGAGGCAGUAUGCUUGCCUGAGACCUUGAAGUGGCAGCUAGUGGCUGUUUAAAAUCCCUUUUGGUGACAAGUAGAAGCCUCUACAUUUAGUUUCCAAAAGAGCAGAGGCAGUGGUCCCAGUGACAGUGCCCAGCAUUGGGGGUGUCUGUGGUGUAAGUCCUGGGGUAUGAACCUGGGAGUACUGGAGAAUGACAUGGGAUCUUGGUCCUGGCUAGGGAGCCGCUUAGCCUGGUGACCAUGUGACCUAUCCAAUAUUGUUUAAUAAACUUCCCACUUAACCCAGCCACAGUUGGUUUCUGUUGUUUGCAAAUGAACUUCGAGACAAUGGCAGCUGGUGGCACAGAGAUUAGAGCCAGUUACUGGGAUUUCUCUUUGGCAAGUCCAUCCUGGGUUUGCAUCUGGGAAGAUCUUUCACAAAAGGAGAUGUGGAAGGCACAACCAUCCCCUCGUGCCCAAUUCAGAUGCAGCUUACCCUUUGCAGAGCCUGGCACCUUGGCUAUGCCAGCUGCAGGGGAAAGGGGUGGCGGCCACCUGCAAGGGUUGGGCCAAUGCUGCACAGGAUUCGGGCUCAAGACACCAACACCCUGCUAGGCCAGCGCAGGGAACACUCACCACGGGAGCCUAGGGGCUUCCUCAGGGGCCUUCAAGCACAAAAAGAGAUACUUUUCACCCUCCCACCCCCCAACCAGGCUGUAUGCCUGCCUGGCCCUCAGUGGGCAUGGCAGAAAUGCUAGGAUUCGUGUUGGAUUCAUGCAUUUUUCAGAAUAGUUUAAGGACUGCACGAAGACAGAGGGACGAAUCACAUGACUUCAGAGUUCAUUGGUUCCAACUAUUCCAGCUCUCCUGAGAAGGCAUGUUUUGCCAAAAGUGCACAUAUGUUCCUCUAAAGAAAACCAUGGUAGUUUUUUGAUGGAAUUUUUUCCUCUCCCAGGCAUCGUCAGACGUGCCCAGCACUCGACUGCAGAGCAGCCUCUCUCACAGUUUCCACUCUCAUUUCUCAAAGAACUCUCUUGGUACCUCAAGGCCGUGGCUUUCCUAAGUGGCUUUUUGAGGGAGACAGCAGGGACUGGGCUUUAAGGGGGCCACAGCGCAGCUUUCUUUUCCCCUCACAGGCAGAGCUAUCAGUAGCCACGUCGGGUAGAACAGAAGGCAUUCUGGGAACGCGGUGCUCUCACAUCCUGCAAAGUACAGGCCUGCAGAGCAGAUGGCAGGGACUUCAAAAGCUAAGUCACCUUGAAAGAUAAUGGCACAAAGGGCGAUUGGGGGUGGGGUGGGUGGGAGGCUUUUGUACCCUUUUGCAACAAGGAAGCAGAAAAGACAAAAGCUAUUUGCCAGCCUGGUGCGGGAAUCAACAGAAUAGAGAGAUGGUUCUGCUGCAAUUUCCAUCAAGGGUGGCCAAGCCUCCAGUCUUCUUGUCCAGAAGUAAGUGGCAUCAACCAACUCUGCCAAACUGCAUUUCCUGCCUCCUGAUCUGGGGUCUUUUCCUUUUCUUUUUUCACACAGGGAGUAUUUCCAUCCUCUCUGUCCAGGCAGCUGAGCCUUGACAACCUCUCCUCCCCUUCACCAUGCCCCGACUGAUCUCCUAAUGGAGCCCCACCCCUCGAGUCCCUGGGCCUGUGGAAGGUAGGGUCUCCCCCUCCUCCUCAUCCUCCCCCACUCCACUCCAGGUGGGGUUGCAAUAGGGCUUAUCUGGUUUCCUCUAAGCAUGAAGCCCUUGACCAGAGGAGGAGCGGGAGUUCACGUCACGCCCCCAUGCUUAGUCCUGGCCUUUUGCAUUUUUUGUGGAUGGGUAAACUGAGGUACAUAGUGGUCAACUCAUGCCCAGGAUCACAGAGGCACUGGCAGGGUGGCAGGAAUGCUGAAUUCACCUGAUGAGAGCCAGGGACAGCAGCGGGUGGGGCGGUGGCUGCUUUUCAACUGAAGUUGUUAAAAGGAAUGCUUAUUCCUGGCCCCACCGGCUUGCCCUCCAAGGCAGAACGUGUUAAUACCGAGCCCCAGCAAAGGUUCAAAUUGACUUCUUGGCUCUGAGCAGGGAGGUAGAAGUUCCUGCCCCCGCCACCCCCGGCUCGAGGCUCCAGGGGCUGCCAGGCUCCUCUCGCCUGGCCUAGAAACAAUCCCCUCCUGCCACCUCCACGCAGGUGCUGUCAGGACAGGCCCUCUGCCCUCAAACAUCUGCUCCUCUCCUCGGGGAGGGGGGCCUCAGCUGCGCGCUGAAGGGGCCAGGCCUCAGAAGCCUGUUCUCCUUUGAAGCUGACAGCUUGAUGCCUGUGGAAAUGCGGUCCUAUUUCAGGAUUUCAUUUUAAAGAGGUUUCAAAGGAGUGGCUGGAAGGCUUGGUGGAAUCGCUUAUUACGGCUCCUCUCCCGGCCCGCAGCUUGGUGGCUGAGCACGUCAUCAUCAUUGGCAGGCAGGUGACUGUUCUAAAUUAGCACCUGGCUCAUUCUGGAGGGCUCUAACUCUUCCUGAGCUUUUUCCAAGAACAACUUUCAUGACUUAUACCUUCUUAUACCUUUCCCACGUUAUCUGUUUGAAAUGAUCCACGGGGCAGGUGAAUUACGUGUCAUCUCCAAGACUCUUGUUUCUGUCGGGCAUGUCUUAAAGACACACACACAUGCAAAGGCUAUGAAAAUGCGACCCCCCAGACCUGGGAAGCUGCAGCCCGUGGAGCCUCAGGGGCAAAGGGAGCAAACUGGCUUGUGAGGGAAGAGCUGCUCUGGUCAGCGGCUGUUGUGGGAUGGGGAGGGAACAGGGUGACCCAAGGGGGCAGGGGCCUGGUGCCAUGUCUGCUCAUGUGCCGCCCUCCUUGUCUCUGGGAUCUGCCCCCAAAAUGCAAGAAACGCGUAAGCCCACUGUAGCAGAUAUGGAGAGACUCCGGGGGAUUUUCCUUUACCUAACUACUCUGCACCUCUGCAAGGGAGAGCAUUAUGGUUUGGAAGAAAUGGAAACGGCAUGGAAGUCCCAUGUGGGCAGAGCCUGCACACCAAACCCUUCUAGACUGCAAAGGGUUUGACUCAGCCCAAAGAGGACUCUGCCAGGAAGCUGUCAGGCACCUGAGGCCACCUGCCUCUCCUCCGCUUCAGGAAUAACCAUCAGUACUGCAUCUUGGCUCUGAGGGGCACUGGGCAUCACGAUGCCCACUCGAAGCAGCUAGGGCACGUUGAUCUCUGCAUCUCCAUACAGAUGUCCGAGGAAAUGAUCCCAUAGCCUCAUCUCUGUUUCAGAGGCAGAGGCAGAGUCCACCAUAAUCUAGCCCAUUGCUCUCAACCAGACAGAGCGCACCUCCUGGCCACUAGAGGGAAGCAUUGUUUCUGCGGGGA